rnacentral:rRNA from 1 species
UACGUAGGGUGCGAGCGUUAAUCGGAAUUACUGGGCGUAAAGCGUGCGCAGGCGGUUUUGUAAGACAGGCGUGAAAUCCCCGGGCUUAACCUGGGAAUGGCGCUUGUGACUGCAAAGCUGGAGUGCGGCAGAGGGGGAUGGAAUUCCGCGUGUAGCAGUGAAAUGCGUAGAUAUGCGGAGGAACACCGAUGGCGAAGGCAAUCCCCUGGGCCUGCACUGACGCUCCAUGCACGAAAGCGUGGGGAGCAAACAGG